AAGACUAUACUUUCAGGGAUCAUUUCUAUAGUUCUUGACUUGAGAAAUGUGUUUCUAAAAUGUUUGGUCUCGCUACUACUGUUGUGUCGUCUGCAAACUUGAUGAAUGAGUUGGAGGCGUGCGUGGUCACGCAGUCAUAGGG